AUUCCUUUUUAUUUUUGAGUGUAUAAUUGUGUGAGCAAUUUAAAAAUUAUGUUCUUUACUCCCUAAAAGUAAAUGUCUGACUCUUCUUGCCUGUGUUUUACAGAAGCUCCACAUGCAUCAAAAUGCCCAUGAUACGCACAAAGAACAUAAUUUUAUAACUCAGAAAAUCUAAAUAACAGGAAGUUCACAAGAGCAGUGAUCCCCAGAUUUUCUCAACAAUGUAUCCCAUUUCCUGAAACACUUCACCACUGAUCUCCUUUUUACAAGAAGAAAAUUUUGGUGGACCGUUACCCAGCAAGGAAAGGACGUUUGGCUAUUAAGAUAGAGCUGGGAUGCUGCAGGAGUGUUAACAUCUCUCUAAUUAUGCCCUCAAAGAAAAACCUUCAGGAAUACCUGCUUCACUUCUGCUGCGGAAAUAAAUGAAAAAUGAAAAGUAAAACCAUGGGAAAUAG
ensembl:lncRNA